UGCCAGCAGCCGCGGUAAUACGAAGGGUGCAAGCGUUACUCGGAAUUACUGGGCGUAAAGGGUGCGUAGGUGGUCGUUUAAGUCCGUUGUGAAAUCCCUGGGCUCAACCUGGGAAUGGCAGUGGAUACUGGACGGCUAGAAUGCGGUAGAGGGUAGUGGAAUUCCCGGUGUAGCAGUGAAAUGCGUAGAGAUCGGGAGGAACACCAGUGGCGAAGGCGGCUACCUGGACCAGCAUUGACACUCAAGCACGAAAGCGUGGGGAGCAAACAGGAUUAGAUACCCUGGUAGUCCACGCCCUAAACGAUGCGAACUGGACGUUGGGAGCAACUUGGCUCUCAGUGUCGAAGCUAACGCGUUAAGUUCGCCGCCUGGGGAGUACGGUCGCAAGACUGAAACUCAAAGGAAUUGACGGGGGCCCGCACA
rnacentral:rRNA from 1 species